CCCGCGCCCGGCCCGCCGCCCCCGCCCCCCUACGGGAGGCAGCAGUGGGGAAUUUUCCGCAAUGGGCGAAAGCCUGACGGAGCAACGCCGCGUGAGGGAUGAAGGCCUCUGGGCUGUAAACCUCUUUUAUCAAGGAAGAAGAUCUGACGGUACUUGAUGAAUAAGCCACGGCUAAUUCCGUGCCAGCAGCCGCGGUAAUACGGGAGUGGCAAGCGUUAUCCGGAAUUAUUGGGCGUAAAGCGUCCGCGGGCGGUCUUGUAAGUCUGUCGUUAAAGCGUGGAGCUUAACUCCAUUUAAGCGAUGGAAACUGCAAGACUAGAGUGUGGUAGGGGCAGAGGGAAUUCCCGGUGUAGCGGUGAAAUGCGUAGAUAUCGGGAAGAACACCAGUGGCGAAGGCGCUCUGCUGGGCCAUAACUGACGCUCAUGGACGAAAGCCAGGGGAGCGAAAGGGAUUAGAUACCCCUGUAGUCCUGGCCGUAAACGAUGAACACUAGGUGUCGGGGGAAUCGACCCCCUCGGUGUGGCAGCCAACGC
rnacentral:rRNA from 1 species